GGGUGAGUAAAGUAUCGGAACGUACCUUUCAGUGGGGGAUAACGUAGCGAAAGUUACGCUAAUACCGCAUAUUCUGUGAGCAGGAAAGCAGGGGAUCGCAAGACCUUGCGCUGAUUGAGCGGCCGAUAUCAGAUUAGCUAGUUGGUGAGGUAAAGGCUCACCAAGGCGACGAUCUGUAGCGGGUCUGAGAGGAUGAUCCGCCACACUGGAACUGAGACACGGUCCAGACUCCUACGGGAGGCAGCAGUGGGGAAUUUUGGACAAUGGGGGCAACCCUGAUCCAGCCAUGCCGCGUGAGUGAAGAAGGCCUUCGGGUUGUAAAGCUCUUUCGGCCGGGAAGAAAUCGUAUGGGUUAAUACCCUGUGCGGAUGACGGUACCGGCAUAAGAAGCACCGGCUAACUACGUGCCAGCAGCCGCGGUAAUACGUAGGGUGCGAGCGUUAAUCGGAAUUACUGGGCGUAAAGCGUGCGCAGGCGGUUUUGUAAGACAGGCGUGAAAUCCCCGGGCUCAACCUGGGAACUGCGCUUGUGACUGCAAGGCUAGAGUAUGGCAGAGGGGGGUGGAAUUCCACGUGUAGCAGUGAGAUGCGUAGAGAUGUGGAGGAACACCAAUGGCGAAGGCAGCCCCCUGGGCCAAUACUGACGCUCAUGCACGAAAGCGUGGGUAGCAAACAGGAUUAGAUACCCUGGUAGUCCACGCCCUAAACGAUGUCAACUAGGUGUUGGGUGGGUAAAACCAUUUAGUACCGGAGCUAACGCGUGAAGUUGACCGCCUGGGGAGUACGGCCGCAAGGUUAAAACUCAAAGGAAUUGACGGGGACCCGCACAAGCGGUGGAUGAUGUGGAUUAAUUCGAUGCAACGCGAAAAACCUUACCUACCCUUGACAUGUCCAGGAGCCUGAAGAGAUUUGGGUGUGCCCGAAAGGGAACUGGAACACAGGUGCUGCAUGGCUGUCGUCAGCUCGUGUCGUGAGAUGUUGGGUUAAGUCCCGCAACGAGCGCAACCCUUGUCGUUAAUUGCCAUCAUUUAGUUGGGCACUUUAACGAGACUGCCGGUGACAAACCGGAGGAAGGUGGGGAUGACGUCAAGUCCUCAUGGCCCUUAUGGGUAGGGCUUCACACGUCAUACAAUGGUCGGUACAAAGGGUUGCCAACCCGCGAGGGGGAGCCAAUCCCAGAAAGCCGAUCGUAGUCCGGAUCGCAGGCUGCAACUCGCCUGCGUGAAGUCGGAAUCGCUAGUAAUCGUGGAUCAGCAUGUCACGGUGAAUACGUUCCCGGGUCUUGUACACACCGCCCGUCACACCAUGGGAGCGGGUUCCGCCAGAAGUAGGUAGCCUAACCGCAAGGGGGGCGCUUACCACGGCGGGGUUCGUGACUGGGGCGAAGUCGAAACAAGGUA
rnacentral:rRNA from 1 species